rnacentral:rRNA from 1 species
AUUUAGUGGGGGACAACAUUCCGAAAGGAAUGCUAAUACCUGCAUACGUCCUAUGGGAGAAAGCAGGGGAUCUUCGGACCUUGGGCUAAAUGAUGAGCCUAAGUCGGAUUAGCUAGAUGGUGGGGUAAAGGUCUUCCAAGGCGACGAUAUGUAUCGGGUAUGAGAGGAUGAUCCGGCACACUGGGACUGAGACACAGCCCAGACUCCUACGGGAGGCAGAAGUGGGGAAUAUUGGACAAUGGGCGCAAGCCUGAUCCAGACAUGCCGCGUGUGUGAAGAAGGCCUUUUGGUUGUAAAGCACUUUAAGCGAGGAGGAGGCUCUCUUAGUUAAUACCUAAGAUGAGUGGACGUUACUCGCAGAAUAAACACCGGCUAAAUCUGUGCCAGCAGCCGCGGUAAU